AGGACGAACGCUGGCGGCGUGCUUAACACAUGCAAGUCGAGCGGAAAGGCCCUUCGGGGUACUCGAGCGGCGAACGGGUGAGUAACACGUGAGUAAUCUGCCCCUAGCUCUGGGAUAGCUCCGGGAAACCGGGAUUAAUACCGGAUACGACCACCUUAGACAUCUUUUGUGGUGGAAAGAAUUUCGGCUAGGGAUGAGCUCGCGGCCUAUCAGCUUGUUGGUGGGGUAACGGCCUACCAAGGCGACGACGGGUAGCCGGCCUGAGAGGGCGACCGGCCACACUGGGACUGAGACACGGCCCAGACUCCUACGGGAGGCAGCAGUGGGGAUAUUGCGCAAUGGGCGAAAGCCUGACGCAGCGACGCCGCGUGGGGAUGAAGGCCUUCGGGUUGUAAACCCCUUUCAGCAGGACGAAGCGAAAGUGACGGUACCGUGCAGAAGAAGCGCCGGCUAACUACGUGCCAGCAGCCGC
rnacentral:rRNA from 1 species